UUCAAAAUUUUCCGCCCUAACGCUCUCUCUCUCUCUCUCUCUCUCUCUAGAAACCCUAACUCGUUGCUCACUGCAACGAUGCCAGCGAUGUUCGAUCCCACUCAGAUCACCGACGUCUACGUCCGAGUCAGGCCAAGGACCAAAGUGCACUAACUGGUAAGCGGGUUGGAAGGGAUGAUCUCAACCUGGAUAUCAUCGUUCAGGGUUAACUUUGCAUUAAGCCUGGGUAAGGUUAGGUGUUCUACGUGGAUUUGCUAAGUACCGUAAAUUAGCUCCAGUUCAUUCACUUUCAGCAACUAGUCGCUCUACCCCCCUCCACAUGAAUCCAAAAUUCUGCCUUUUUGUGUUGUCUUUUGCUUAGGUGUUCUACGUGGAUUCACCGAGUACCAGUAAUUAGCUCCUGCUCGAAAUCCUAUAUAAAUCCUACCCUUUGGCCCUUUGCAUUCAACCAUUUCCACACUAAUUUUUCUGAAAAUCCUUGAGCAGUAGGUGCCUACCAAAUCUCAUCUUCUGUCUUCCCUUUCUUAACUUUUUCAGAGAGAAGAGAAUUCAGUCUCCGUUUCUCAUCUUUUCUAAUGGCGAAGGAGAUCAUGCACGUGAAGGUGAAGUCUUGGAUAGAGGUUGCAUCAUCACCUCUUCUUUUCCCUCGAAAGCCAUCUAAUUCUCCUAAACUCGAAACUAUUAGGGAAGAGCGAGCUGAGGAGUGUGAAGAUGAUAUAAUGAUUUGUGAUGUUGGUUUGAUCCUAGCUUUACCUUGUUUUUGUGUUUUUGUGGAGCGAGAUUUACUUCUCAAAAUAUUCCGCAGCAUAAAAUAUGUGAUAUUUUGGUACGAGUCAUAGGUUGAUUGUGAGUUGAAUAUGUUAUGUAUUUAGAAUUUUUAUCUGAAAAGUCUUUUCAAGAAUUUGAACGCAUUGUGUAGGUUUGUACUUGGUAUAGUGUGAGCCAUAUAUAAGAUGAAUUUGAUUCCCGUAUUAGAAUUGUUGAAAUACAAAAAUUCCAAAAUCUCCAGUUCUA